GACGAACGCUGGCGGCGUGCUUAACACAUGCAAGUCGAACGGAAAGGCCCUGCUUUUGUGGGGUGCUCGAGUGGCGAACGGGUGAGUAACACGUGAGUAACCUGCCCUUGACUUUGGGAUAACUUCAGGAAACUGGGGCUAAUACCGGAUAGGAGCUCCUGCGGCAUGGUGGGGGUUGGAAAGUUUCGGCGGUUGGGGAUGGACUCGCGGCUUAUCAGCUUGUUGGUGGGGUAGUGGCUUACCAAGGCUUUGACGGGUAGCCGGCCUGAGAGGGUGACCGGCCACCUUGGGACUGCGAUACGGCCCAGACUCCUACGGUAGGCAGAAGUGGGGAAUAUUGCACAAUGGGCGGAAGCCUGAUGCAGCAGCGCCGCGUUCGGGAUGACGGCCUUCGGGUUGUAAACCGCUUUCGCCUGUGACGAAGCGUGAGUGACGGUAAUGGGUAAAGAAGCACCGGCUAACUACGUG
rnacentral:rRNA from 1 species